UACGUAGGGUGCAAGCGUUAUCCGGAAUUAUUGGGCGUAAAGAGCUCGUAGGCGGUUUGUCGCGUCUGCUGUGAAAACCGGAGGCUGAACCUCCGGCCUGCAGUGGGUACGGGCAAACUAGAGUGCGGUAGGGGAGAUUGGAAUUCCUGGUGUAGCGGUGGAAUGCGCAGAUAUCAGGAGGAACACCGAUGGCGAAGGCAGAUCUCUGGGCCGUAACUGACGCUGAGGAGCGAAAGCAUGGGGAGCGAACAGG
rnacentral:rRNA from 1 species